UAAGAUGUUUUCUAAAAUAGAUUUAAGAGCUGAUUAUCAUCAUAUUCGUAUGGAGACUGAGGACAUUCUAAAAACUGCCUUUAAGUGCCAAGGGCAUUAUAAAUUUACUGUUAUGCCCUUUGGGUUGACUAAUGCCCCUGCUACAUUUCAAGGGAUGAUGAAUCACAUUCUAGGAAUAUCUUAGGAAGUUUGUGCUGAUUUUCUUUGAUGAUAUUCUCAUUUACAGCCU
rnacentral:misc_RNA from 1 species